GCCACAUCGGAUUGAAACACUGGUUUCCGUACGAUCACCAAAGAUAAGCAACGUCAAACCUGGUCAGUACCAAGAUGGGUGACCGCUUAAGAAUACCAAGUACUGAA